rnacentral:misc_RNA from 1 species
GAUGAAGAACGCAGCGAAAUGCGAUACGUAAUGUGAAUUGCAGAAUUCAGUGAAUCAUCGAAUCUUUGAACGCACAUUGCGCCCCCUGGUAUUCCGGGGGGCAUGCCUGUCCGAGCGUCAUUACAACCCUCAAGCUCUGCUUGGUGUUGGGCCCCGCCGCCCCGGCGGGCCCUAAAGUCAGUGGCGGUGCCAUCCGGCUCCGAGCGUAGUAAUUCUUCUCGCUCUGGAGGUCCGGUUGUGUGCUUGCCAUCAACCCCCAAUUUUUUUCAGGUUGACCUCGGAUCAGGUAGGGAUACCCGCUGAACUUAAGCAUAUCAAUAAGCGGAGGA